CUGUGCUGCCGGCCGCUGUUCCGGGCCAGCCCAUCAUCACGGGCAAUGGACCUCAGAUUCCGUCUCUCGUCCCUGGGGCUGAUCACAAAGGGCCCCUCCUCGGGUUCCUGCCUGCUUUCUCCUCCCCAGUUUUGGCUUCCCUGCUCUGCCUUCUGCUUUGCCCAAGGUUUCUCUGCGUUCCUCAUUGAACAGCUGAAGCUGAAGCUCCAGUACUUUGGCCACCUGAUGCAAAGAGCCGACUCAUUGGAAAAGACCCUGAUGCUGGGAAAGAUUGAGGGCAGGAGGAGAAGUGGGUGACAGAGGCUGAGACAGUUGGAUGGCAUCACCAAAUCAAUGGACAUUGAGUUUGAGCAAACUCUCAGAGAUGACUGUUAGUGACUAACAUCCAGCUGAAGACUAGCAGGGGGGUACUCUUUCUGCCCCCUUCUGAUGCCUAUGUCAGAAGCUUUCUCUAUCUCCUUUAUACUUUAAUAAAACUUUAUUACAC
ensembl:lncRNA